rnacentral:rRNA from 1 species
AUUGAACGCUGGCGGCAGGCUUAACACAUGCAAGUCGAGCGGGGGAGGUUACUUCGGUAACUGACCUAGCGGCGGACGGGUGAGUAAUGCUUAGGAAUCUGCCUAUUAGUGGGGGACAACAUUCCGAAAGGAAUGCUAAUACCGCAUACGCCCUACGGGGGAAAGCAGGGGAUCUUCGGACCUUGCGCUAAUAGAUGAGCCUAAGUCGGAUUAGCUAGUUGGUGGGGUAAAGGCCUACCAAGGCGACGAUCUGUAGCGGGUCUGAGAGGAUGGUCCGCCACACUGGGACUGAGACACGGCCCAGACUCCUACGGGAGGCAGCAGUGGGGAAUAUUGGACAAUGGGCGGAAGCCUGAUCCAGCCAUGCCGCGUGUGUGAAGAAGGCCUUUUGGUUGUAAAGCACUUUAAGCGAGGAGGAGGCUCCUUUAGUUAAUACCUAAAGUGAGUGGACGUUACUCGCAGAAUAAGCACCGGCUAACUCUGUGCCAGCAGCCGCGGUAAAAC